UACGUAGGGGGCAAGCGUUGUCCGGAAUCAUUGGGCGUAAAGAGCGUGUAGGCGGCUUGGUAAGUCCGCUGUGAAAGUCCAGGGCUCAACCCUGGAAAGCCGGUGGAAACUGUCAAGCUCGAGUCCGGAAGAGGCGAGUGGAAUUCCUGGUGUAGCGGUGAAAUGCGUAGAUAUUGGGAGGAACACCAGUGGCGAAGGCGAGUCUCUGGGAUGAUGCUGACGCUGAGGCGCGAAAGCCAGGGGAGCAAACGGG
rnacentral:rRNA from 1 species